rnacentral:rRNA from 1 species
GAUGAACGCUAGCGGGAGGCCUAAUACAUGCAAGUCGAACGGUAAGGUCCCUUCGGGGAUACACGAGUGGCGGACGGGUGCGUAACGCGUACGAAACAUACCUUCAACAGGGAGAUACCUCCGGGAAACUGGAAAUAAUACCCCAUAGUAUUGAGAUAUCGCAUGAUAUUUCAAUUAAAGCUUUGGCGGUUGAAGAUUGUCGUGCGUCUGAUUAGCUAGUUGGUGAGGUAACGGCUCACCAAGGCGACGAUCAGUAGCUGGUCUGAGAGGAUGAUCAGCCACACUGGAACUGAGACACGGUCCAGACUCCUACGGGAGGCAGCAGUAGGGAAUAUUGGACAAUGGGCGGAAGCCUGAUCCAGCCAUCCCGCGUGUAGGAAUAA